AAAUUAAAAAAUUUGGCGGUAUUUUAGUCUUUUCAGAGGAACCUGUUUUAUAAUUGAUAGUCCACGAUAAUAGUUACUUAUUAUUUAAAUUUGUAUACCGCCGUAGUUUAAAUAUUUUAUAAAAUAAUAUUUUCAGGUCAAGGUGCAGUUUAUGUUUAAGUAAAAAUGGGUUACAUUAAAAAUUAAAAAUAAAUUGGAUUUGAAAGUAAGCUCUAAAAUAUGUACAUAUUGCCCGUCGCUUUCAUUUUUAAGUGAAAUAAGUCGUAACAAAGUAGAUUUAUUGGAAAAUGAAUCUAGAAUUCAAAUUAGAGCUUGGUAAGUAUUUUAUUUACAUUAAAAAGUUAAUUGUGAAAUUCAAUUUAAUUUGAAAGUAAAAUUUUAUUUUAUUUAAAAAUUUAAUUGAUUUAAAAAAAGUAAUUUUAUUUUUAGUAUUUAUUAGAAAAAUUUUUAUUAUAGUUUAGAGUAUAGUAAUAGAAAAUUUUAAUUUAAAAAAAAGAAAACUUGUUUUGUUGUACCUUGUGUAUCAGGGUUUAUUAAUUUAUUUUUCUCGAAUUUUAAAGAUUUAAUUUUAUUGUCUUAUAAAUAUUUAUAAUAUUUAAUUAGAAAUGAAAUGUUAGUCGUUUUAUAAUAUAUCUAGUUUUUUAAGAAUAAUUUAAUUUUUAAAUUAAUAAUUAAUUUUAUAAGGGAUUAGCUUUAUGACGUAUUUUUAAAAAUUUAUAUGUAUGUAAAAAAUAUAGGAUUAGAAGUUUUUAUUUUUAAAAGUGAUUUAUAUUUAGUUUUAAAUUUUUAUUAAAAUUUAAAUUUUAAUUUUGAUAAUUUAGUAAUAAUGGUAUAAUUAGUAAAUUUUAAAUAAAGAACUCGGCAAAUUUGUUUUUCACCUGUUUAUUAAAAACAUGGUUUUUUGAAUAUAAUUUAAGAUCUGGCCUGCUCAAUGAUUAAAUAGCUGCAGUAUAUUGACUGUACAAAGGUAGCAUAAUCAUUAGUUUUUUAAUUGAAAGCUGGAAUGAAGGGUUUGAUGAAAAAACAGCUGUUUCAAGAAUUUUAUUUUUAAGUUAAAAAGCUUAAAUUUUAUAAAAAGACGAGAAGACCCCAUAGAGUUUUUUUAAAAUGAUAAUUAAAUUAAA
rnacentral:rRNA from 1 species